rnacentral:lncRNA from 1 species
UUUCUUCAAACUAAAACAAGUUCGCAAAUGUUUAAGCCUUUUAAAACACAAUUCUCGACAAAAGAAUUUUCAUUUCAACCCACCAAUAGAUUUUCCAAACAUUUUUCAUUUUCAUAGAAAAGUAAUCUCUAUUAUUUUUCUACUACUAUGAUUAAAAUUCAAAAACGGCAAGAAAACGGUUACGAUUUUAAAACGAGCAUGACCCGGUCAAUCUUCGUCUGAUCAUCGCAAACCAUAUGUCCAAAUUCAUCGUCUCGAAAAGACGGAUUUAAUGGUUUACUUUUUAGGACAAGAUAUCAAAGUUAAAAGGACCAAAAUACCCUUCCAUAUUUCGGCCAGAAUCCAAAAUUAACACAAAAUCAUUUUUUUUUUCAAAAUCAAACUUGGUUAAAAUAAUUAUACAAUUACUAAUUUCACAUAUACAAACUUAAUUUGAUUAAGUUCAAUACUUGAGAAAGAUUUCUUCAAAUCCUAGAUUCAAAACUCAUAAAAUUGGGGCUUUUCUUGUUAUAGCAUUUCUUUCAAAAAUUGAACUAUUAAAACAACUAGUGCUAGCUUCAAUUGCAAGAAAAUCACAUCACAAAUUCAUUUCAAACAUUUUCAAAAAUCACAAAAUUCUUAAAAUCCUCACAAUCAAAAUUUUGUUUUAGAUCUAACACCACUCAUACUAGCUAGUAAUGUUUAUGAGUAAGAAAAUUUUGAACUCAAACAACCAAUAACAACAACACUUCGACAGCAACAAAUAANNNNNNNNNNNNNNNNNNNNNNUUCACAAGCACCACCAAGGAGAGGGGAUCAACUUUGGUUCCAAGCUUUCUUCCUAAUUCCUUCUAGAUUUUUCUUAAGGUGGAGAUUUGUGUUGUAUGAACACUUAGAAAAAUAAAUAAAUUGAAAAAGAGGGAGGGAGAGUAGGUCACGGUUUUGGAAGAGGAAGAAAAGAGAAAAAUGUUAUUUUUGAUCUAUACUUUUUCCUUAAGUAGUUUCUCUAAUCAAUUUCUAACCAUUGGAUCAAAUUGUUAAAGUUUCUAAGAUAAAAUCCUACCCCUUGGAUCUUCC